CUGGACACAGGCACAUGCAAGCAGGCAAGGCAAUGAGUUUUCCUCUGCACUACUGGGGUAUCAGCAGAAUGAGUAAAAAAGGUGUUUCAAGAGCCCUACUUAAAAACAAACUAUACCUUUUAUUUCUUUUCAUUAUUGGAGAAAAAGGAUUGACCUCCUGGAACUUGUUUGAGCAGCUCUGCUUCCCUCAGAGCAUUACUGAACAUUGUUUUAAAAGAGUUCAGCUGAUCCUACUGUCCUUGAACUCAAUAGACAUGGAUUGGCUAAGGAAAAACCCAAAGAAGCAUACGCACAAAAGGAACAUCUGCUUCGAGAAGGAACAUCUUUAA
rnacentral:lncRNA from 1 species